GAUGAAGAACGUAGCGAAAUGCGAUACGUAAUGUGAAUUGCAAAUUCAGUGAAUCAUCGAGUCUUUGAACGCACAUUGCGCCCCCUGGUAUUCCGGGGGGCAUGCCUGUCCGAGCGUCAUUGCUGCCCUCAAGCACGGCUUGUGUGUUGGGCCCCGUCCUCCGAUUCCGGGGGGCGGGCCCGAAAGGCAGCGGCGGCACCGCGUCCGGUCCUCGAGCGUAUGGGGCUUUGUCACCCGCUCUGUAGGCCCGGCCGGCGCUUGCCGAUCAACCCAAAUUUUUAUCCAGGUUGACCUCGGAUCAGGUAGGGAUACCCGCUGAACUUAAGCAUAUCAAUAAGCGGAGGA
rnacentral:misc_RNA from 1 species